CAUUAUGAAGCUUUUAGCGCUAGCCUUUUAAGCUAGAGAUAGGGAAUAUAAGCCCCAUAAUGA
rnacentral:tRNA from 1 species